UUAAAACAUUAAAUAUAUUCAUAUUCAAUAGAAUAAUGGGAUUGUAUUAUUUUUAUAGUUAUAUUAACGAUGUGUUGAUGAUGAAAUUACCGAAGGAAAAGAUAAUAAAUUUAAAAAAUUCUUUAAGGAGUAUUUGCUCCAUGGUAAAACCUUCUGAAUGUCCACCAAAGGAUCAGAUAAAAAUAAUUGAGAAAAAACUUGAAAAAUGUCGUAACCAAGAGAAUAAUCCUGAUAGCAUAAUGUA